rnacentral:rRNA from 1 species
GACGAACGCUGGCGGCGUGCUUAACACAUGCAAGUCGAACGGAAAGGCCCUGCUUUUGUGGGGUGCUCGUGUGGCGAACGUGUGUGUAACACGUGAGUCACCUGCCCUUGACUUUGGUAUAACUUCAGGAAUCUGUGGCUAAUACCGGAUAGCAGCUCCUGCUGCAUGGUGGGGGUUGGAAAUUUUCGGCGGUUGGGGAUGGACUCGCGGCUUAUCAGCUUGUUGGUGGGGUAGUGGCUUACCAAGGCUUUGACGGGUAGCCGGCCUGAGAGGGUGACCGGCCACAUUGGGACUGAGAUACGGCCCAGACUCCUACGGGAGGCAGCAGUGGGGAAUAUUGCACAAUGGGCGGAAGCCUGAUGCAGCAACGCCGCGUGCGGGAUGACGGCCUUCGGGUUGUAAACCGCUUUCGCCUGUGACGAAGCGUGAGUGACGGUAAUGGGUAAAGAAGCACCGGCUAACUACGUG